CCUACGGGAGGCAGCAGUGGGGAAUAUUGCACAAUGGGGGAAACCCUGAUGCAGCGACGCCGCGUGAGUGAAGAAGUCUUUCGGUAUUUAAAGCUCUAUCAGCAGGGAAGAAAAUGACGGUACCUGAUUAAGAAGCCCCGGCUAACUACGUGCCAGCAGCCGCGGUAAUACGUAGGGGGCAAGCGUUAUCCGGAUUUACUGGGUGUAAAGGGAGCGUAGACGGCAGCAUAAGUCUGGAGUGAAAUGCCGGGGCUUAACCCCGGAACUGCUUUGGAAACUGUGCAGCUAGAGUGCAGGAGAGGUAAGUGGAAUUCCUAGUGUAGCGGUGAAAUGCGUAGAUAUUAGGAGGAACACCAGUGGCGAAGGCGGCUGACUGGACUGUAACUGACGUUGAGGCUCGAAAGCGUGGGGAGCAAACAGGAUUAGAUACCCCUGUAGUC
rnacentral:rRNA from 1 species